GGGCGAAUGGUCUAGGGGUAUGAUACUCCCUUCGCAUCUGAUUUCAGAUAGAGAUUGGGAGGGGUCCGGGGUUCAAUUCCCCGUUCGUCCA
rnacentral:tRNA from 1 species